AAUAAGCUCUCAGCAUCGAUCUCUCUCGUGUGUCAAAUGUCGACCGACCAGCUGGAUGCCUUGCUUGACUGACAUGCCCAGCUACUCCCGCUUGACGCGACGUGCAUGCGUGUAAAAUUAAAAAAAAUCUCACAUUCGUAAAACUCGUGACGUGCACAUGCUGACUUGGACUAGAAAAACCGUGAAGUUGUUCCACACGAAUGAACACACCUACGUACGUCGGUCGAUCGGCUCAUCUCUGGUGCGGUGUAUGUGUGUGUGCAUAGCAGUGUUCUUGCGUGUCCAUCGUCGUCCUGUGAAGAUGAAGCCAGCAGUGACACGCAGAGGCAGAGAUCAGAGAUGUUUCUAGCUCGACAAGAUAAACAAGCCACGCUACUGUCCCGCACUUUUGCACGCACGUCUCUGGCACGGAGAUGAGGAGGAGGCCAGGAAUAUAUAUAGACCGGGCGGCCAAAAAUCGUCCUGCAGGCUGACGCUAAUGCAUAAAUCACGCUGCCGUAAUUAAACUCGCCAUAAGCCUCACACUCUCAUCUCAUGUGUACCCAUGCAUGAAAAGAGCUAGCUAUAUGUUCAGAUGGUUUCUCUGGUCAGCGAAAAACCCUGGCUAGAUAGAUAGAUAUAAUACUAAAGCAUUCUGAUGCACGGGAAUAAACCGGCCGGUGAAACAGAAAAGAAUGAUGACGACGUGACGGAGGAUGUACUGUGUAACGUCGUCGUAUCUCUUAAUUUCCCAAUCGAACCUUUUGUCAUCAGGGAACAGUAGUUGGUCUUUCUCUUCUGGGAUAAGCUAGAUUACUUAUUCUGAAAUAACAGCGUGCAGUGUUCACCAAUGUUUUGUCACCUCUCUCCGUGGAAACCCGAACAGUGCAACUAUGAUACGUGACAAUUCAGGGUUUUUAUUUUAUUUUAUCACAGCGUGCAGUGCCCAUGAUGCAAGCACUACUUGUCUGGCUGCUACCUAGUUCUGAAAAAUCUAGGACUCGAGGUGCAGCAAGCCGGGAGAGAUAGUUUAAGCACAAGUCAGCAUCAGCAGCCGCGCAUAUGCAAGCAGGACGCAACAUAGUACAGCAACGGUGACCCCCGCCGAGAGAGCUCCGAUCCGUUUUGUGAACUCUACCGGCGGAUGAAGCGAUCUACAUGCGCCGCAUGCAGUUGUUGGUUCGUGUUGUGUGUGUGUGUGUCGUGUGAGCGGCUGGGGCAGUACGUGACACCAUGCUGAGAUGAUCCCCGAGUCACCACCGCACCACAGGGGCGGAGCUGGGCGAUGUACGUGUUGCUGUCCUGUCCUGCUGUGGUCAAUGUUUUCUGAUAAACACGAACUGCCCGGGCUAGCUAUACUAGCUGCCUUGUCGUCA
rnacentral:lncRNA from 7 species